UGGGGAAUAUUGCACAAUGGGCGCAAGCCUGAUGCAGCCAUGCCGCGUGUAUGAAGAAGGCCUUCGGGUUGUAAAGUACUUUCAGCGGGGAGGAAGGGAGUAAAGUUAAUACCUUUGCUCAUUGACGUUACCCGCAGAAGAAGCACCGGCUAACUCCGUGCCAGCAGCCGCGGUAAUACGGAGGGUGCAAGCGUUAAUCGGAAUUACCGGGCGUAAAGCGCACGCAGGCGGUUUGUUAAGUCAGAUGUGAAAUCCCCGGGCUCAACCUGGGAACUGCAUCUGAUACUGGCAAGCUUGAGUCUCGUAGAGGGGGGUAGAAUUCCAGGUGUAGCGGUGAAAUGCGUAGAGAUCUGGAGGAAUACCGGUGGCGAAGGCGGCCCCCUGGACGAAGACUGACGCUCAGGUGCGAAAGCGUGGGGAGCAAACAGG
rnacentral:rRNA from 1 species